rnacentral:rRNA from 1 species
UACGGAGGGUGCAAGCGUUAAUCGGAUUUAUUGGGCGUAAAGGGCGCGUAGGCGGGGAGGUAAGUCAGAUGUGAAAUCCCGGAGCUCAACUCCGGAACUGCAUUUGAAACUACCGCUCUUGAGGGUAGGCGGAGAAAAUGGAAUUCCACGUGUAGCGGUGAAAUGCGUAGAUAUGUGGAAGAACACCUGUGGCGAAAGCGGUUUUCUAGCUUAUUCCUGACGCUGAGGCGCGAAAGCAAGGGGAUCAAACAGG